UAAUUUCCACUCAGGAAAAUUAUACGUGGAUUGGAACGGACAAGAAAAUUUUUCUUUGUGUUAAAGUCAUUAGUUCCAACCCAGAGCUCACAAGACAAGGAAAAUCUUUCUUGUCCGUUCCAAUCCACAGAUAAUCUUCCUGAGUGGAAAUUA